GCGGCCUCCCCCUCCGGGCUCGCAGCGGGCCCCGCCGAGCCGCGCCCGCGUCCCGGGCGCCCUGCGGAGAGCCGACCUUGCCAACACCUUGGCCCAGGCACUGGAGGCCGUGGCGAUGCCCUGUCGUGACACGAGAGGGGAAGCCCACGGGGCUGGCCUGACCCGGGAAGCCCCUGGUUGCUUGGCCCUGCCUGGUUCCUAGGCGUCCCGCUCAGUCCCUUCUGCCUCGCUCUCAUCCGCAAUCCUGCACCCGCGGUCCGGAGAGGGGCAGGUAGCCCCCGGCCCUGAGGUCCAGGUGCAACCAUUGCAAAGAUUUGCUAAAUAUUGAAGACCUACAGAGCCAUGGAUUAGAGAAGCAAGAAAAUGAUGCCAAACAGUCCUGGAAGACAAAUACUGCAAGAGCUUAUAAGUAUCUGGAUCAAGAAGGCCACACCAAUACUCUGGUUUCUCGUCAGAUAGCAUAUAUCUUUCACCUUUUAUUAAAGAAGAGCCACACCUGGCCCCAAUGUAAAGCACAGAUCCUGAACUUUGAGCCUCUGCUGCCAUGAUUGGAUGAGACUUUUUACACGUCUUGAGAGGCAGCGGGGAAGUACGUCACAUCAGGGAGCAAAGUGAAUAUUAUUUGAAAGAGACUUUGGUAGAUUGAAUGCUGUUCUCGAUUCUUCAUAUACUUCCUGUUGCAGGUCUGUUCAUCCAUGCCCUUUGCCAAGGGACUUUGUAGUAUCUCCACUAGAGUCAGCUGAGGAUAUUUCCUUGCCCCACUGAGGCUGGACCUGGCAGGAAUGUUAAUAAACAUGAUGGGGCUUUAAAUACAUGUGCAUGAUUUGGUGUGUCCCCUUCAGUCCUGUGAUGCAUCAUUUAAAACACCCCCAAAACCCAAAGAGCCAAAGAAAUCCACCAAACAGCAAAACAAAACCCUCAUACCCCCUGUAGCCUCUGAUCUCAAAAUGAAGACAUGAGGAGAAGUGAUUCUACUCGUCACCUGGUACCAGGCCCCACCUAGUCCAGCUGACACCAGCCAAACCGAACUGUAAAUAAAAUCCCCAAAUACUGAAUGUGCAAGCGACUGAGAUUUUGGGAGUUGUCAGUUAGGCAGUUAGUGUUAGUUGAAUGAUAAAAUUCACAUAAGAGAUAUAAGCAUAAAGGACUCAAACCUCGUUUUAUGUUUACACGGAGCUCAGUCGCAAUAAAUUAGAAAACAUUUUGAGUUAACAAUAAGGUUCUUUUUUUAAAGGUCUCCAAAGAUUAAUGAAGUUUUAGAAAUUCUGCCUUAGAUAGUUCUGAUUAAACCCAUUCUACAGAUGAGGAUAUUGAAGCAACUCAUCGUUGUAUAGAUGAUGAUAUGAGGUCGGUGGCUUCAGGUCAGUGGGUCUGACGAGGGCUUGCCUGACUUCAGCAUAAAGAUUUUUCUACUAUCUUCCUUGCUGCCUCUUUUUAUUAGUUUUAAAUAUUUUCCCUUUUGUUGAGGUGACUAGUACAAGUAAAAUUUGCUAAAAGAGCAUACGGAGAUUAAAAGAAAAAAAAUGUUUUCUAAAAAGAAAGAUAGAAAGGAAAAGGAUAAACUGCCAAAUGCAGAUGAUGAAACCUGGCAGAAUAACUAUAAGCAGAACUCUGAGUACCCAAACCCUGUCAGAUACUUUUACCAUCAAGGGACUGACGUACAGGCUCAUGUGUCCCUACUAUUGCAAGCAAGAGCUGCUUUCAAAAUACUUCUGGACUUGGGGCCAUCCACUAAUAAGGCUGAUACUAACAU